GUGCGGUUAGUUCAGCGGGAGAACGUCUCCUUGACGAGGAGAAGGUGGUUGGUUCAACUCCAACACCGCCCACCA
rnacentral:tRNA from 1 species